GCCACGGCAAGUUUCCUCUGCCAGAUCUUGAGCCAUUAGCAGAAACGCCGCCUGCAGCUCAGUCUGCAUCGGAAAAAUGAGGUCUCGGCGUUUCGCUUCCACCGGAUCCGUCGCCGACCUUACCGGCUUAGCCGUCUUGCUCAUCUUUCUACUUUCCAGCUUCAGUUUCACUUCAACAGAAGCCUAUGAUGCACUUGAUCCCAACGGGAACAUCACA
rnacentral:misc_RNA from 1 species